rnacentral:tRNA from 1 species
UCCCUAGUGGUCCAGUAGGUAGGAGUCUGCAUUUUCAAUGCAGGGGGCCUGGAUUUGAUCCCUGCUUGGGGA